rnacentral:rRNA from 1 species
GCCUGAUGCAGCAACGCCGCGUGAGGGAUGACGGCCUUCGGGUUGUAAACCUCUUUUAGCAGGGAAGAAGCGAAAGUGACGGUACCUGCAGAAAAAGCGCCGGCUAACUACGUGCCAGCAGCCGCGGUAAUACGUAGGGCGCAAGCGUUAUCCGGAAUUAUUGGGCGUAAAGAGCUCGUAGGCGGUUUGUCGCGUCUGCUGUGAAAUCCCGAGGCUCAACCUCGGGUCUGCAGUGGGUACGGGCAGACUAGAGUGCGGUAGGGGAGAUUGGAAUUCCUGGUGUAGCGGUGGAAUGCGCAGAUAUCAGGAGGAACACCGAUGGCGAAGGCAGAUCUCUGGGCCGUAACUGACGCUGAGGAGCGAAAGGGUGGGGAGCAAACAGGCUUAGAUACCCUGGUAGUCCACCCCGUAAACGUUGGGAACUAGUUGUGGGGUCCAUUCCACGGAUUCCGUGACGCAGCUAACGCAUUAAGUUCCCCGCCUGGGGAGUACGGCCGCAAGGCUAAAACUCAAAGGAAUUGACGGGGACCCGCACAAGCGGCGGAGCAUGCGGAUUAAUUCGAUGCAACGCGAAGAACCUUACCAAGGCUUGACAUAUACGAGAACGGGCCAGAAAUGGUCAACUCUUUGGACACUC